CAUUGUGCUCUACAGAACCAUGAUUUAGAAUAUGUUUAAGGAGGAAAAGAUUGUCUCUUCAGAGGUAACUCAAAGUUUCUCCAAUAACCAAUGUAAGAAAAUAGCAGUAGAAAAUUCCUUAUUAACGGUGUAUCCCGUAAUGAGGAGAAUCGUGCUGCGUAUAAAGCUGUUGUAACUCUUAAGCCUUCUAUGCUAACCCAAUUUUAUUUACUGUAUGAAAUUUAAUCAACCUUCAUUCAAUUUUCAAGAUAAAGCUCCUUAUGUAGGGAACACAGAGAAGGGGAAAAAGUGAUUACAAUAAAAAUAUGGAAGGUUACAAUGAGAAACAGGUAUAUUUUGUGGUGGUGUUGUGAGGAAGAGUUGCUGGUAGUUGGUUUAACUCAGUUGUGGCAAAGACGGAAAAAUAAAGUCGUAGUUCUUCAGCUUUGACACAAGAAAAAGAUUUGUAUUUGCUAUGUAGUAUUCAUUUUGUAAACGUAAAAGUGUUCCAGAGUUGGAAAAAGAGAUGAUGCGUAAAAUGUCCAAAUUUAAAGCUCAAACAAAAAACAAGAAAUUGAUACCCCUUGCCUUUUAGCUCUUCGAUUUGCUCUACAAGGCUCUCUGUAUUUUUUCCUUUAUAGUGCUUGGGUCUUUGUUCUUA